rnacentral:rRNA from 1 species
CGCCUUGCCAGCCCGCUCAGAAACUUAAAUGAAUUGACGGGGGCCCGCACAAGCGGUGGAGCAUGUGGUUUAAUUCGAUGAUACGCGAGGAACCUUACCUGGGCUCAAAUGUAUGUUGACGUAUUCUGAAAGGGAUACUUCUUCGGACAAUAUACAAGGUGCUGCAUGGUUGUCGUCAGCUCGUGCCGUGAGGUGUCGGGUUAAGUCCCAUAACGAGCGCAACCCCUACUGCUAGUUGCCAGCGGGUCAUGCCGGGGACUCUAGCGGAACUGCCAGCGUAAGCUGCGAGGAAGGUGGGGAUGACGUCAAAUCAGCACGGCCCUUACGUCCAGGGCUACACACGUGUUACAAUGGCCAGUACAGAGGGCAGCCACCCCGCGAGGGGGCGCUAAUCCUAAAAGCUGGUCCCAGUUCGGAUCGGAGUCUGCAACCCGACUCCGUGAAGCUGGAUUCGCUAGUAAUCGCGCAUCAGCCACGGCGCGGUGAAUACGUUCCCGGGCCUU